UUACCUAUGUGAUAAGCUACACAACAGUUAUAAAAUUUAAUCAAUAUAUUAGAUUGGUUUAAUGAUAGUAACUAGAACACGAACUUCAGAAUGGGAGAGAUUAUCAACCAGUGUGAAAUUUGCUUUCUUGGUGGAGAAUUGAAAACAUCAAUAAAGUACUGUUUAGAUUGCAGACAGCCACUAUGUGAAGGUUGUAAUCAACAGCAUGGGAAGUUUCGCUUAUUGAACGACCAUAAAGUGCUUUCAAUAGAAGAAUAUUCAAAGUUCUUACCUGAAAUUCGCAGUUUAAAGAAGACGUGUAGUGAUCAUGAAGAUGAAACAUUCGAGUUUCUAUGUUUUGAUCACAAUAGUUGUGUCUGCUUCUUAUGCUUGAAAGAUAAGCACAAACUGUGUAAAGACGUUCAUAGAGUAAAAUCGCUAAAUGCAGACGAAGCUGUUGAAUCGUUCUUUUCAAAGCUCGAAAGUAACAAAAAACAGGCAGAGGGACUCCUCAAUUCGUACAAGUUCAAUAUGACCGAUCUAAUAGCAUCAACACAAUCCGCUAAAACUAAUAUUCAGUCCAUAAUAAAUAAUGCACAAUCGUUUUUACACAAAUGUCGCUCCAAAAUAGAAAAACAACUUGCAGAUGAAACUGUGCAAUUGAAACAGAAAAUUAAAUAUUGUGAAGCAGUAGUAGCCAAAAUAUCACAGAGAAAAGAAGUGCUUAAAAAAUUCAUCAAGUUUGGCGAUUCUUACCAGGUAUUUGGCAAACUAUGUGCUUUGGAAACUGAACAGAAAAGUGACGAAAAACUACUACAAGAUAUGAAAAGUAAACUCCACAAAGUAACAUUUCGAUUUCAGAUUGUACCACCAAUUCUUGAUCAGAUUGUUCGUCUUACUGUUUCUUAGUUAUUCAGUUCUAAAAAAAAACUGUACGUCAUGACUAGAGGUUACGGUAUAAAUGUCAAUAUAAAUUAAUCAAAUAAACCCAAUAAAUACAUUCAGAUUCUC